rnacentral:rRNA from 1 species
GACCUCGAAUCAGGUAGGAAUACCCGCUGAA